UUUUAUCUCGGUGAGUCGGUGCGCAACU
rnacentral:sRNA from 1 species